UGAUAGAGGUCGCGGUCCUCAAGAGUAGCUCCCCCCGCUGCAGGCACAGGGGGGAGGGAAAGGGAGGCCCGCCGAGGAGCGGACGAGACGGCCUGGUCGAGUUCGUGUCCGGGGCGGCGGAGAACAUCCGCCGCACUGUCGCCCCCCGGGGGCGGAGAGCUGUCAG
rnacentral:ncRNA from 1 species